CCUACGGGUGGCAGCAGUCGAGAAUCAUUCACAAUGGGGGAAACCCUGAUGGUGCGACGCCGCGUGGGGGAAUGAAGGUCUUCGGAUUGUAAACCCCUGUCAUGUGGGAGCAAAUUAAAAAGAUAGUACCACAAGAGGAAGAGACGGGUAACUCUGUGCCAGCAGCCGCGGUAAUACAGAGGUCUCAAGCGUUAUUCGGAAUCACUGGGCGUAAAGGGUGCGUAGGCUGUUUCGUAAGUCGGGUGUGAAAGGCGCGGGCUCAACCCGCGGACGGCACAUGAUACUGCGAGACUAGAGUAAUGGAGGGGGAACCGGAAUUCUCGGUGUAGCAGUGAAAUGCGUAGAUAUCGAGAGGAACACUCGUGGCGAAGGCGGGUUCCUGGACAUUAACUGACGCUGAGGCACGAAGGCCAGGGGAGCGAAAGGGAUUAGAUACCCGAGUAGUC
rnacentral:rRNA from 1 species